rnacentral:lncRNA from 1 species
UCCAUACCCAUGCCCCUCACCCAUCUCAGCAGUAUCGUCGGCUAUAUGUUAUCACCGACGGUGAGGUCAACGAUCCACACAGUCUCUCUCUUUCUCUCCAUUUUUCCCCUCUUUCUUUCUUUCUCUCUCUCGCCUUCCCAUCUUCACCGUGUCAUCCUUCAUCGUCUGCUACACCAACCACCAUCAACCAAGCCCCAUUUCCACCAUCCCACUAUGGCGACCCUUAUUGCCAUCAUUCUUGUUGCCCAUCAUUGACAGCCACUUAUCACCACCCAUAUUAGCUUCACCACACCUCCUUUCCAUUCGCCACCUAUGGUCGUCAUUCUCAUGUUCGCACGACUACCAUCAUUACUCAUCAUCCCUCUUCCUUUCACAGGCUUCCACCACCGCACCUCAACACACUGCCACCAACUAUGUAUUUUCUUGUGGAGAAGCAACAAGAAAAAAGAACUAAUAAAGUGAGAGCUUUGAAUAUCCUAUUCUUUGAAUUUGUUCUUUUAGUUUGUUAUUUUCUAAGAUUUCACAAUAUUCAUGUAUUGGUGAAUUUUACUCUAUUAUCUUCUGUAUUAUCUUUCACUUUAUCUUUCCCCUUUUUACUCUCUUUGAUUGUAGAAAAACUAAGGAAGAUAACUGUAUAAAAAAAAUUAAUAAUAAAUAAAAAAUCUUGGAAUAUCCCAUUUUAGAAUUUUUUUUCCCCGCUCUUUUCUAACAUUUUAUCGUAAGCUAGCAAAAUGUUUAUUUGGUUCACAAUCUUGAAACUUGAAAUUAAUAUUCAAUUUCAUUUUUAUGUUUCAAAUUAAGUUUAUAGGCAUCAAUGGUUACUGCAAUUAUGUGUCUCAUUUUUGUUGUGCCAAAAAUAAUGUGAUAUCUAAUGAGUUCUUUUUUAAACUUUUGUUUUCAUUUUUUGCUAGUAAAGGCUAAUGUUUCAUUUUCUUUAUAUUGAUUUCUAUGUUGAUCUAUAAUAUUUGGAUGUGUUAAUUGAAAUAAUUAUGAGUAGAUUGCCUUUAACUUUUAUCUCUACUAUUUCCUUUACAAGUGUACAGGGAUACCAUUAGAUUUUUAAUUCAAUUUGAAGAAACAAAACUAUAUAUUUGGGCACACAAAAACAAUUUGCAUAAUGUGAUAUGGUUUUCUCUUUAAUAUGGUUAAUUAUUUAAUUUUAUUUAUUUAUGCACUUGAAUUUUUUACUUGGGUUCCUUUGGUUUGGUUCUUUCCCUUUGUUUUUUUCCUCUCUUUUUAGGGCUAAAUUUUAAUGUUUUGAUUCAUGAUUGUUUGAAACUCUUUCUUUAGUUAAAUAUUUAUAUGCUAUUUGAUUAAUAAGCAAUAAAUCAACCCUCACAAAAUUUUAAUUUUUUGUUUCAUAGUCACAAGCCAACUAAAAUUGUUUCUAUAAUCCUUAAUUAAUUGAUUAAUUAAAUUUCAAAAUUUACAGAUUUAAGCUCUCAACUAGAUAGCUUGUGCAUUUAUUAAUUCUUGAAAUAAAGACAAAAUUUGCACACAAAAUAUCUAUUACCCAAUUAGAAUUGAAGAAGAAUGUCCUUGAUUUUUUAUUUUGUUAAGUUUAGAUGCAUUUGGUGCAUGAAAUUAAUAGUGAGUAUGAUUUCUAUGAAUUUGAAUUUAGAUAUUUCAUUAUUUAUGAUUGAGAUAAUUAAAAUUUCUGCUCAACUUUAAUUUCAAUUAUUUCUUGGAUAAUGUGAGUUUUUAUCUAUUUAAAAACCAAAAUAACAUGAAAGAUAUAUUUGGAACUUUCUUUUUCUCUUUUCCUUUUUGCAUUCCUUUUAGAAACUAAAAAGAAGUAUAUUUUUAUAGUUAUUUAGGUCCAUAAUAUAAAAAGCACAAUAAUUAAACUUAGAAUUCAUUCUUAAAAAUAUUUAAUUGUAGUUAGAUAUCUAAUUUCUCAAUUUGAGUUUUCUUUUUGUUAACAUGGUUUGUUUUUUCUAUCAUAGGUUUGAGAUAGAGGUAUUGGCAAUUUUGGGGUCUUGUUAGAGGGUAGUGCUUGAAGAUUAAUGCUAGAAAUAUGAUAUCUAUAAAUUGCAUAUAUGUUUGAUGUAUUCUUGUAAUUGAAAGUACCUUAUAAUUUGAAAAUGGCUAUUUUGAUACAUGUUACUUACUUUUCUAUUAAUGUUGUGUCUAUCCUAUUAGGUAUCUAAGAAAUAUAGCAAAAGAAGAAGAAAAUGAUGGAGAAUUAGAGACCCUCUUACAAGAUAGUAUUGUACUUUUUAAUUUAAUUUUGUAUAUUAUCUUAAUUGAAUGUUUGUAAUUAAUUUUUUUUUAUAUAUAUAGUAACUAGAGAG